GACGAACCGUGCGAACGUUAUUCGGAAUCACUGGGCUUAAAGCGCGUGUAGGCGGAUGAGCACGUCUGUCGCUGAAAUCCCCCGGCUCAACCGGGGAACGGGCGCGGAUACGGCUCGUCUCGAGCGAGGCAGGGGUUGUGGGAACUUCCGGUGGAGCGGUGAAAUGCGUUGAUAUCGGAAGGAACGCCGGUGGCGAAGGCGGCUCUCUGGGACGGUACUGACGCUGAGACGCGAAAGCGUGGGGAGCGAACGAGG
rnacentral:rRNA from 1 species